UGCGAUGCGCAAGCAGGCGCGAUAAAUCCCUUAUACUGUUCUCUAGUUUUUUCAUUAGUCUCUGGUUCGACUGGUUAUUCGAUAAACAGCUUAGGAGUGCAAAAGUGACGAAAAUCGUACGUAUUCCAGCUAGAAAUAUCAAGGAGUACAUUAUGCUUCCCAAGUUCGUUUUCCUGAUGCUUGCAAUGGUUGUGGUCACCUGUCCAGCCAGUUUGAUAGACAGACCAGGAGAAUAUGGAACAUUGAAACAAGACUUUCCCCAAGUCCACGACAAAGUCCAGUAUGAUGACACAUGGUAUGACUGCUACGAGUUGACCCACAACCUCCCUCCUGGACCCCACUGUAGCUGUGCCUUCCUGGCAUGUACUGGUAUCGCCAACUGCUGGGGACUUCAGUCUGCUCACUGCUUCGUAUUCAACCCUUUCUACGACUACAAGAGCAUGUCCGAGGAGGACUGUAUUUGCCAUUAUCAUU